rnacentral:tRNA from 1 species
GACCGCGUAGCUCAGUUGGCUGAGCAUUUGGCUAGUAUUCCAAAGGUCGUAGGUUCGAUUCCCACCGUGGACA